CGCCCGAGAACACUCCUAGGGAGAGAACAACCGGGAUUGCCUCAGUAACGGCGAGUGAAGCGGCAAGAGCUCAAAUUUGAAAUCUGGCCCCUUUGGGGUCCGAGUUGUAAUUUGCAGAGGAUGCUUCGGGUGCGGUCCCCGUCUAAGUGCCCUGGAACGGGCCGUCAUAGAGGGUGAGAAUCCCGUCUGGGAUGGGCGGCCGCGCCCGUGUGAAGCUCCUUCGACGAGUCGAGUUGUUUGGGAAUGCAGCUCUAAGCGGGUGGUAAAUUUCAUCUAAAGCUAAAUACUGGCCGGAGACCGAUAGCGCACAAGUAGAGUGAUCGAAAGAUGAAAAGCACUUUGAAAAGAGAGUUAAACAGCACGUGAAAUUGUUGAAAGGGAAGCGUUGUCCACCAGACUCGCCCGGGGGGGUUCAGCCGGCACGUGUGCCGGUGUACUCCUCUCCGGGCGGGCCAGCAUCGGUUUGGGCGGCUGGUGAAAGGCCCCGGGAAUGUGCCACCCUUCGGGGUGCCUUAUAGCCCGGGGUGCCAUACAGCCAGCCUGGACCGAGGCCCGCGCUUCGGCGAGGAUGCUGGCGUAAUGGUGGUCAACGGCCCGUCUUGAAACACGGACCAAGGAGUCUAACAUCUAUGCGAGUGUUCGGGUGUCAAACCCGUCCGCGCAGUGAAAGCGAACGGAGGUGGGAGCCCCUCGGGGCGCACCAUCGACCGAUCCUGAUGUCUUCGGAUGGAUUUGAGUAAGAGCAUAGCUGUUGGGACCCGAAAGAUGGUGAACUAUGCCUGAAUAGGGCGAAGCCAGAGGAAACUCUGGUGGAGGCUCACAGCGGUUCUGACAUGCAAAUCGAU
rnacentral:rRNA from 1 species